GGGGACACGCCAGAGUUUGGAGAGCUGGGCCUGACUGUAAAUCAGGUGCGUUAUGCUGAAUAGGUUCGAGUCCUAUUGGCCCCAC
rnacentral:tRNA from 1 species